GAUGAACGCUAGCGGCAGGCCUAAUACAUGCAAGUCGAACGGUAAAUAUUGUAGCAAUACAAUAUGAGAGUGACGUACGGGUGCGUAACACGUAUGCAACCUACCCUUUACAGGUGGAUAGCUCGGGGAAACUCGAAUUAACCCACCGAGGUAUCAUUGAAUGGCAUCAUUUGAUGAUUAAAACUCAGGUGGUAAAGGAUGGGCAUCCGUCUGAUUAGUUAGUUGGCGGUGUAACGGACCACCAAGACGAUGAUCAGUAGGGGAACUGAGAGGUUGAUCCCCCACACUGGCACUGAGAUACGGGCCAGACUCCUACGGGAGGCAGCAGUAGGGAAUAUUGGUCAAUGGAUGCAAGUCUGAACCAGCCAUGCCGCGUGCAGGAAGAAGGCCUUAUGGGUUGUAAACUGCUUUUGCCAGGGGAUAAAACGAGCUUGCGAGCUUAAUUGAAGGUACCUGGUGAAUAAGCCACGGCUAACUACGUGCCAGCCGCCGCCGUAA
rnacentral:rRNA from 1 species